UACGUAGGGGCCUAGCGUUGUCCGGAUUUAUUGGGCGUAAAGAGCUCGUAGGCGGUUCGGUAAGUCAGGUGUGAAAUCUCCACGCUCAACGUAGAGGGGCCACCUGAUACUGCCGUGACUCGAGUCCGGAAGAGGUGAGUGGAACUCCGAGUGUAGAGGUGAAAUUCGUAGAUAUUCGGAAGAACACCAGUGGCGAAGGCGGCUCACUGGUCCGGUACUGACGCUGAGGUGCGAAAGCGUGGGGAGCAAACAGG
rnacentral:rRNA from 1 species